rnacentral:lncRNA from 14 species
GCCCAGGAGAAAGCCGCUAGAAGCGAUAGCUGUUGGACUCCUCCGGGUUAUUUCCCCGAGUCGGUGCGUAGUGAGAACUUCCUCCCGGGAUGCCCUUUCGGGGGGAUGCGGGGCUGAGCACAUGGCUGCCUCCCCUGGGUCUGCCCCGCGUCUGUCACUGCACCGCCUGCCAAGGGGCCUGCCGGCGCCUGCUCUCCUUUCGGAGUGCUAAUCUGACCCCAAGAAAACUUUAGCUGGGCGAGGGAAGGAGGCUGCUCCAAAAGGCAUUGCUGCAGGGAGACUCUGGGAGUUCCGGGGUGAAGAGAUCUGCCUUGAUCUGGAGACCUCUGCUGAAGGUGAAGACCUCCUAACGGGCCAGACAGCCUUAGCAGGAGUUCAGAAGUCUUACACCAAGAAUUCUCUGGAGCGUUACAUUCUCCUGUUUGGAGUGUGGACAAGAGUUUGGCAUUCUGCUUUUACAGAUCGCUGCCGCUCGCUCCUGGAGCGCAGGGGGGACGGCCAGACUCCCGCAUCUUUCAGCAAGAAGAAAGGAGCCAGCGGAGCGGACUAAUACGGACUUGUGUCGGGUGCCCUUGCCCUACAAAGGCUGCCUUUAAAAGAGGAACGCAGUGCUAUUUAAUGAGCUGUGAGAUGAGGCACUGCUGCUAACGCUCAAAUCCCAGGAUUCAUCGGCUAUUCAUUGUGCUUAAUGUACAUGUUUCUGCACCGUGCAUUUAGGAGAUCCCAGAGAAGAAUCCAAAACGGCUG